rnacentral:rRNA from 1 species
GCGCAGCAGUCGCGAAACCUUUGCAAUAAGCGAAAGCUUGACAGGGCUAUCCCGAGUGCCAUCCGCUGAGGAAGGCUUUUACCCAGUCUAGAACGCUGGGGGAAUAAGGAGAGGGCAAGUCUGGUGUCAGCCGCCGCGGUAAUACCAGCUCUCCGAGUGGUGUGGAUGUUUAUUGGGCCUAAAGCAUCCGUAGCUGGCUAGGUAAGUCCCUUGUUAAAUCCACCGAAUUAAUCGUUGGAUCGCGGGGGAUACUGCUUGGCUAGGGGACGAGAGAGGCAGACGGUAUUUUCGGGGUAGGGGUGAAAUCCUAUAAUCCCGGGAAGACCACCAGUGGCGAAGGCUGUCUGCUAGAACGCGCCCGACGGUGAGGGAUGAAAGCUGGGGGAGCGAACCGGAUUAGAUACCCGGGUAGUCCCAGCUGUAAACGAUGCAGACUAGGUGUUUGGACGGCCACGUGCCGUUCUAGUGCCGCAGGGAAGCUGUUAAGUCUGCCGCCUGGGGAGUACGAUCGCAAGAUUGAAACUUAAAGGAAUUGGCGGGGGAGCACCACAAGGGGUGAAGCUUGCGGUUUAAUUGGAUUCAACGCCGGG